GGGAAUCUCUUCUGGUGAUUCAUGUUGCUGGAGUUUUACAAGUGAGCCCAGGAUAUGGGUUAACUCAGCGAAGUUUGCACUGUGUUCCCUGGUGGAGAUGGGUGUUGGCUCCUUGCCUUGGAUGCACAAUGCUUGCUUUGUCUGCUUGAGAUUUCCAAGCAUGAUCCCUAUGAAGAGCAGAACUCCUACAGUACGAUUUGAAGCAAAUUUCUUCCAACAGUCUUCAGGCUUAUCUAUAUCCAAAGUGUAAAUCUGCAAA